rnacentral:tRNA from 1 species
AAAGAAUUAAUUUAAAUUUAAAAUUUUAAUCUGUCAGAUUAAAUAUACUUAUGAAAGUAUUCUUUU